rnacentral:rRNA from 15 species
GCUUACGGCCAUACCACCCUAAACGCGCCCGAUCUCGUCCGAUCUCGGAAGCUAAGCAGGGUCGGGCCUGGUUAGUACUUGGAUGGGAGACCUCCUGGGAAUACCAGGUGCUGUAAGCC